UACGUAGGGUGCAAGCGUUAAUCGGAAUUACUGGGCGUAAAGCGUGCGCAGGCGGUUGUGUAAGACAGAUGUGAAAUCCCCGGGCUCAACCUGGGAACUGCAUUUGUGACUGCACAGCUGGAGUGCGGCAGAGGGGGAUGGAAUUCCGCGUGUAGCAGUGAAAUGCGUAGAGAUGCGGAGGAACACCGAUGGCGAAGGCAGCCCCCUGGGCCAACACUGACGCUCAGGCACGAAAGCGUGGGGAGCAAACAGG
rnacentral:rRNA from 1 species